CCAGACUCCUACGGGAGGCAGCAGUGGGGAAUAUUGCACAAUGGGGGAAACCCUGAUGCAGCGACGCCGCGUGAGUGAAGAAGUAUCUCGGUAUGUAAAGCUCUAUCAGCAGGAAAGAUAAUGACGGUACCUGACUAAGAAGCCCCGGCUAACUACGUGCCAGCAGCCGCGGUAAUACGUAGGGGGCAAGCGUUAUCCGGAUUUACUGGGUGUAAAGGGAGCGUAGACGGCAGCGCAAGUCUGGAGUGAAAUGCCGGGGCCCAACCCCGGAACUGCUUUGGAAACUGGGCGGCUCGAGUGCGGGAGAGGUAGGUGGAAUUCCUAGUGUAGCGGUGAAAUGCGUAGAUAUUAGGAGGAACACCAGUGGCGAAGGCGGCUUACUGGACCGUAACUGACGUUGAGGCUCGAAAGCGUGGGGA
rnacentral:rRNA from 1 species